GAUGAACGCUGGCGGCGUGCUUAACACAUGCAAGUCGAACGAAGCACUCUAUUUGAUUUUUUUCGGAAAUGAAGAUUUUGUGACUGAGUGGCGGACGGAUGAGUGACGCGUGGGUAACCUGCCUCAUACAGGGGGAUAACAGUUGGAAACGACUGCUAAUACCGCAUAAGCGCACGGUAUCGCAUGGUACAGUGUGAAAAACUCCGGUGGUAUGAGAUGGACCCGCGUCUGAUUAGCUAGUUGGUGGGGCAACGGCCUACCAAGGCGACGAUCAGUAGCCGACCUGAGAGGGUGACCGGCCACAUUGGGACUGAGACACGGCCCAAACUCCUACGGGAGGCAGCAGUGGGGAAUAUUGCACAAUGGGGGAAACCCUGAUGCAGCGACGCCGCGUGAACGAAGAAGUAUUUCGGUAUGUAAAGUUCUAUCAGCAGGGAAGAUAAUGACGGUACCUGACUAAGAAGCACCGGCUAAAUACGUGCCAGCCGCCGCCGUAA
rnacentral:rRNA from 1 species